CGGGUAUGAACGAUUUAUCGUUCUAAGUGAGUGACGUCACACUGCCAAGAAAAGCUUCUAGUUAGAAUCAGACCGCCCGUACCGCAAACCGACACAGGUAGUCGGGUCGAGAAGACCAAGGUGAGCGAGAGAACUCUCGUUAAGGAACUCGGCAAAAUGACCCCGUAACUUCGGGAGAAGGGGUGCUGAUCGCAAGAUCAGCCGCAGUGAAUAGGCCCAGGCGACUGUUUAUCAAAAACACAGGUUUCUGCAAAAUCGUAAGAUGAAGUAUAGGGGCUGACGCCUGCCCGGUGCUGGAAGGUUAAGAGGAUGGGUUAGCGCAAGCGAAGCUCAGAAUUGAAGCCCCAGUAAACGGCGGCCGUAACGAUAACGGUCCUAAGGUAGCGAAAUUCCUUGUCGGGUAAGUUCCGACCCGCACGAAAGGCGCAACGAUCUGGGCACUGUCUCAACGAGAGACUCGGUGAAAUUAUAAUACCCGUGAAGAUGCGGGUUACCCGCGACAGGACGGAAAGACCCCAUGGAGCUUUACUGUAGCUUGAUAUUGGGUGUUUGUACAACUUGUACAGGAUAGGUAGGAGCCGUAGAAGUCGGGACGCUAGUUUCGACGGAGGCAUCGGUGGGAUACUACCCUCGUUGUAUGAACACUCUAACCCACGCCGGCAAUCACGGCGGGAGACAGUGUCAGGUGGGCAGUUUGACUGGGGCGGUCGCCUCCUAAUAGGUAACGGAGGCGCCCAAAGGUUCCCUCAGAAUGGUUGGAAAUCAUUCGCAGAGUGUAAAGGCAUAAGGGAGCUUGACUGCGAGACCUACAAGUCGAGCAGGGACGAAAGUCGGGCUUAGUGAUCCGGUGGUUCCGCAUGGAAGGGCCAUCGCUCAACGGAUAAAAGCUACCCUGGGGAUAACAGGCUUAUCUCCCCCAAGAGUCCACAUCGACGGGGAGGUUUGGCACCUCGAUGUCGGCUCAUCGCAUCCUGGGGCUGUAGUCGGUCCCAAGGGUUGGGCUGUUCGCCCAUUAAAGCGGUACGCGAGCUGGGUUCAGAACGUCGUGAGACAGUUCGGUCCCUAUCCGUCGCGGGCGCAGGAAAUUUGAGAGGAUCUGUCCUUAGUACGAGAGGACCGGGAUGGACAUACCGCUGGUGUACCAGUUGUUCUGCCAAGGGCAUCGCUGGGUAGCUAUGUAUGGAUGAGAUAAACGCUGAAAGCAUCUAAGUGCGAAACUCACCUCGAGAUAAGAUUUCCCACCA
rnacentral:rRNA from 1 species